rfam:Schistosoma rodhaini strain Burundi genome assembly, scaffold: SROB_scaffold0000415
AUCCAACUGACGAGUCCCGAAUAGGACGAAACGAGCGUCAAGCUGGAU